UCUUUGAAGCAAUCAUAUGCCUUUUAUGCUGCAUUUGAUGGAAUUCCAGGGCUACAGGCAUCUGGAGCAUAUAUAUUUUCCAUCCAAAUGGUAAAUAUUCUAUUGGCUCUCAGAAGCAGAUUCGUGACGAUAGAGUUGAGUGGGAUCUUGAAGUGAAUCAACUUAUUGCAUGAAACUGUUAUCCUUUUGUAGUGGAAAUAAUGGCUAUUAUUACAAAUUUCCUCACAAUAGACAUUUAGACUAAAUAUUUUUGUGGUGUGAAUAAUGUUUCUUUGGUUUAUGGUAGUGGAAAUGUGGCUUCAGGAUA